CGCAAAAUGUGAGUUAAUACCUCGGUAAACGACACAAAAACGACGCUAAACCGGCUUGAAUCUGACAUAUGAGGUUAAAAUAUCCCACCAGAAUGCGCCUCGUGGAACUCUGGGUGCUGUUUCCAUUGAUAAGACCCACAAUUUUUUUCUAUCGCAAAAUCACAUCCCCCCACCCAUCACAUCCCUCCCUCUUCGACUCAUCACCUCACGCCAUGACUCUUAUCUAUCCACCAGCCAUCACAGCUCUCCCCCUCCACCCUGCCGAACCCACCACCUCACGCCAUAAGCUGCGGAGUUUCCCGGGAUCGUCCUCGCGUCCUGGCGCAUUCACGAGAGGCCUCCACUCCUCGCUCGACAUCUUCGGGAACGCUGCUGCUAUUAAACCGGCUUGGAGUCGGGAUUAGCGGCGUAAGGCACUACCACGAGAGUGCAAGGUGCGUGACGUCAUUUAUGGACGGCCCCAAAGACAAUGCAAGUAUCAGAACACUUAGAGCCCGGUUCCAGCAGUUAUAUCUUUGAAACCGUUUUGCCACGAUCCAAAAUUAUGAAAAUAAGAAUGUUUUACCCUAUAUGGGUAAAAUAAACCAGGCGUUGAGAAAGGGUAAAAACCUAUUCUCAUUUAUCACCGAUAACAAUAAUAAUAUUGAUACAGUAUUUGUGUACCUCUAAAGGCCACUGUGAUAUUUGACGAAUGUGUUGAGCGUGCACCACUGUUGAGCGUGCACCACUGCACGCUCAACGCAGCAGGUAUAGUUUGUACAACAACAGUAGUAACAACAACAACAAUGUUUGUACUCCGCCACUGAACACCACGGAUUCGCACGCAGCUCUCCGUGUUCCGACACAACGAGAAGAAGUUCCACUUCUUCCUCUUCUUCCUCCU